CACGUAGGGUGCGAGCGUUGUCCGGAUUUAUUGGGCGUAAAGAGCUCGUAGGCGGCUUGUCGCGUCGUCCGUGAAAACCCACAGCUCAACUGUGGGCUUGCGGUCGAUACGGGCAGGCUAGAGUUCGGUAGGGGAGACUGGAAUUCCUGGUGUAGCGGUGAAAUGCGCAGAUAUCAGGAGGAACACCGGUGGCGAAGGCGGGUCUCUGGGCCGAUACUGACGCUGAGGAGCGAAAGCGUGGGGAGCGAACAGG
rnacentral:rRNA from 1 species